rnacentral:rRNA from 1 species
UACGAACCGUGCGAACGUUGUUCGGAAUUACUGGGCGUAAAGGGCGCGUAGGCGGCCUUCUAAGUCAGACGUGAAAUCCCCCGGCUUAACCUGGGAACUGCGUCUGAUACUGGGAGGCUUGAGUAUGGGAGAGGGAUGUAGAAUUCCAGGUGUAGCGGUGAAAUGCGUAGAUAUCUGGAGGAAUACCGGUGGCGAAGGCGGCAUCCUGGACCAUAACUGACGCUGAGGCGCGAAAGCUAGGGGAGCAAACGGG